UUGGCAUGUGCUGUAAACUUAAUGUGGUUUUAGUGUGCUGUUCACUUAUUGACAAGGUUUUGCAUGUAUUUAGUUCUGUACCCAGCUCUAAUUGGCUAGUUUAAAUAUACUGUCUUUCUGUACUGUUUAUGAUGAAGUAAAUCAAUGGGAAUCUCUCUGAAAAAAAGAUGGAGAUGGAUUUUAUUACUGAAACAGUACACUACCAGUUAACAGUACUGGCUUAAAUUCACUCAUACCAACAUUCAGACUUUAACUGUGAGCAGGAUUGUAUGGCCGAAUGUAAUGGGGGGGGGGGCUGGAGAACCAUUGCUGUUGUGGUUGGUGCCUUCCCCUGAAUGAGCAAUAGGUUCAGUGUGCCUGCAAUUUUCACUGACUUCUCAAGAUCAUUGCUUUUUUGGCUUUGUAUACUGUGGAGCUGAUGGCUGUGUCCCUAUUGCUUCCAUGGGUAAAAAUAGUAAUUGCAAGCAACCCACAAAUGUGCAAGCUGGCUCUGCACCUAUCCUAGUGAAUAUUUCCAUUACCCUUUUCUUACUACUGGCAGUUCUCCACUGUGGCAGUGGAGUCUUUGCUGCCACUCCUGACAAUGUAACUUUAAUCCAGACCCACAGGUGUUUGGCAUUGAGAACCCAUGGGACCAGUGUGACAUGCAUUUAUUGUAGGCACUCAGACUGGCUAUUGGCAAGUUUGCAAUGUUUCAGCUAUUAAGCUAAAUUGGCAGGGUUUGACACCACCCCAUUUGUAUUGUUAAUGCUGCGUGCAACUUCUCACGUUUUGCCCUGAGUUUGCAGGUUUAUUGGUAGACACUGAUUCUACCACAUUUCUAGUUUGAGCAUAGAAAUUGGUGUUGCACUUUUAUUUACUUUGUAUGCUGCAAGGGGGAACAAUGAUGAGCCUAUAGUUCAGCUGAUUGGCAGUGCUGAAUCUUUUCGCCCCUAUCUGAUGUUCCUCCUUUGCAUGUGAAGCUUCUCUGCUCCAGGUUGUGAUGCCCAAACCCAAAUAACCAGGGAUCCAUUAGCCAAAAAUACUGUAGGCCAGAAUGUCAUUACUUUCCUAUAAAGUGGCUAAGGACUGUAGAGGACUGGGUAUUGGGUUAUGGUGUUUCCAACUUUUUUGAAGUGAUAAAUUAGUACUUUGCCAAUUUCAACUAUCUUGUAGUUGAGCUGCAUGUGGUGGCAAGCAUGAUGAUUCCAUAGUUCAGCAGAUUAAACUGUGCUGAAGCUUUUCGCCCCUAUCUGAUCAGUCACCUAGCUCUGUAAAUUGAAUGUUUUGUACAAACGUUUAUUGCAUCCUUUAAAUUUUUGCAGUGUAUGUGGCUCUUGAAAAAGUAGCAUUUAAAUGUCAACAAUGGUUAAGGUUAGUGUUUUUACCUUUCUGGAACAUGUUAACAUGCAGUUUUAAGGCUUAGUUUGUGAAAGGUCACACAUUAUUCUGGAGUGCAUGUUAAAUGGUGUGGUUUGGGAACUGGUAGGUUGUGCCAUGUCUAAGGCUGUAUUUUGGCUGUUUGCUGACAUUCCAAACCAGAGUAGCUUUUGGAGUAACCACCAACUGGAUCACAUCUCUCCCCAUUCCUAUUUUGUUUUGGAUAUUACUAGUAUGCAGAGGAGAAAGGCAAAUGCCCCUUGCCAAAAGUUGUGGCAGACACCGUACAUACCAAUACUUAAGAUUCUGAAGUCACAACAUCCUUGGACAGCAGACUGGAAGAUUAUAAUAGGUGUUAAACUGUCAGCAGUAAAAUUUUCUGCAUUUGGAUUUUAAUGCUAGUCUUAGUUUUCCCAAGUUACAACUUCAUAUGUUCAGCACUAUGAGCUUUCAACUUGUGUGGUCUGGUACAUCUUGCAAAUGAUGAUGAAUCAGGUCCCUGAUCCAAGUGAGGACAAGAUUUGACUGAUGCACCUAUUCUAAACUUUCAGUAUUCAGUAACUGCACAGACUGGUGUUUAGUAGGGAUCAUGCCAGUUUCUGCAGGAUUUGAAUUCCUGAUUAUUUGGUCAGACUUGCAUGCUUAGAGGUGAUAUUUUUAAGCCUUGGUUGUGCAUAUGUUGGGGGGGGGGGGUGUCCUAGUGUAAACUAAUCAAGGUUCAACAUAAGGUGGUUGUGUAAAAGCAGUAAAGUAGAUGCCCAAGUGAUGAGACACAGUCUGAUUUCUAAUAUGAAGAGUAAUUAGCUCUAACUGAUUUGGGCAUGCUGAAAACUUAAUGCUGAACUUUGAAGCUAAUUUUUAUAAACCUCAGGGUUCCAGAGCAGACUUGUGAUGGCAGGCAAGUGCCUUGAAGUGGUGUUUAAACUGGAGUGAAUGAAUUCCCUUUUAAGAGCAACCUUCAUUUGCCUAGUUUCUGUAACCAAUGAUGAAAUGAUUCUGCCAUAUGAGAUGUUAUGAUUCUAUUCUCUACCGUUCCAUUUGUUCUGAGGUUACAGUG